CGAUGUUCGACUGACUUCCUGUCAUGUCACUUCCUCGAGGUUAGUACAGUCGUCGCUUAGCGGUCCUGCUGAGGAGCGAUCUCCAAGUACAGUCGAAGUCAUGUGUGAAGCUUUAUUGAAGCUUUAUUUAAACGGGUUGCUGUUCCCAUACCAGUUGGGAAGUAAAAGAAGAAGGAAAGUACCAGAAACUAAAGCGACACAAGCUGUGCCAACAGGGUAAGAUGUUACGUUUCACUUUUUAAACCUACUCUUGAUAUUUGCAGUCUUUGCUCCUUUGCUAAUUAAAUCUGCGUCAUCUUAUAGAACCUGUGACAUAAGGUAGUCCUAAUAUGGUUAUGUAUGUCAUUGUUAAUAGAGUGAUCACUGUUCUUAAAGGUGUUUUCAAUUUAAAAAUAAUAGGCAAUCAAAACUGAAAGCACUUCGUGCACUUGGUGCUUUCAGUUCCAUCCAACUGGAAAUUCCCUGGAUGUUGUUUAAACAGCUCAUCAUAGCUCACACAACACUGUGAGCAUGCAGUCGCUUCAGACCCCUUCGUCCUUUUACACAUUUUUUAGCAGCUUUGUGUAACAAUGAAAACUGACAUUUUCUAACAUGAGUCAACAUUA